rnacentral:tRNA from 2 species
GUCCCCAUCGUCUAGCCCGGUCAGGACACGUCCCUUUCACGGAUGUAACCGGGGUUCGAAUCCCCGUGGGGACGCCA